GAUUCCUCAAGAGACAAGACUUACUGAAUGUCCUGGCCCGGAUGAUGAGGCCAGUGAGUGAUCAAAUGCAAAUAAAAGUAACCAUGAAUGAUGAAGACAUGGAUACCUAUGUGUUUGCUGUUGGCACAUGGAAGGCCUUGGUGCAACUGCAAAAGAAAUGCAGGACCUGAGUGUGUUUUGUAGUGAUAAACCUAAAUCUGAAGCAAAGUAUGGAUUGCCAGACUCCUUGGCCAUCCUGUCAGAGAUAGGAGAAGUCACAGAGGGAAUGAUGGAUACAAAGAUGGUUCACUUUCUUACACACUAUGCUGACAAGAUUGAAUCCAUCCACUUUUCAGACCAGUUCUCUGGUCCAAAAAUUAUGCAAGAGGAAGGUCAGUCUUUGAAGCUACCUGACACUAAGAGGACACUAUUGUUUACAUUUAAUGUGCCUGGAUCAGAUAACACUUACCCAAAGGAUAUGGAGGCUUUGCUAUCCCUGAUGAACAUGAUGAUUUACUCUAUUGAUAAAGCCAAAAAGUUCCGACUCAACAGAGAAGGCAAACAAAAAGCAGAUAAGAACCAUACUCGUGUAGAAGAGAACUUCUUGAAGCUGACACAUGUGCAAAGACAGGAAGCUGCACAGUCUCGGCUGGAGAAAAAGAAAAGGGCAGAGAAGGAGUGAAUCAUGAAUAAGGAAGUUAAUGAGGAACAGCGCAGGCUGGAAGAAGCUCCUUUGAGGCGUGAGCAAAAGAAGUCAGAGAAGCAGCAAAUGAAAAUGAAACAAAUCAAAGUAAAAGCCAUGUA